GCACAAGCGGUGGAGCAUGUGGUUUAAUUCGACGCAACGCGAAGAACCUUACCUGGGCUCGAAAUGUACAGGAAUCCGGUGGAAACAUCGGCGCCCAGCAAUGGGCCUGUAUAUAGGUGCUGCAUGGCUGUCGUCAGCUCGUGUCGUGAGAUGUUGGGUUAAGUCCCGCAACGAGCGCAACCCUUACCUCCAGUUGCCAUCAUUCAGUUGGGCACUCUGGCGGAACCGCCUCGGAUAACGGGGAGGAAGGUGGGGAUGACGUCAAGUCCUCAUGGCCUUUAUGUCCAGGGCUACACACGUGCUACAAUGGCCGGUACAAACCGUUGCAAACCCGCGAGGGGGAGCUAAUCGGAAAAAGCCGGCCUCAGUUCGGAUCGCAGUCUGCAACUCGACUGCGUGAAGCUGGAAUCGCUAGUAAUCGCGGAUCAGAAUGCCGCGGUGAAUACGUUCCCGGGC
rnacentral:rRNA from 1 species